AAAUACAUCGGGCGACUCCAAGGGAUGGCAACACGCAGGCGCCUUUAAGCAAAGUUCAAGCAGCUCCUAAAUUAACCAAAGCGAAUCCCCGAAGAUGCAGUAUUUAUGCACUGAAGCAAGAAGGGAGGGCUCUCAUCUCACAAGUCUCAUCAGCCAUCACAGCCCAAGAAGCGUGAGAGAGAAAAUAAGAGUUAUUUACCUUUUGCUAAUUGGAAGCCGGGCGGCUCAGCGUGCUGCCCGAAUGAGGAGGGAAGGCGAGCCCGUCCCGCGGCAGGCGGCCACGCUGCCAGGACACACGUAUCCACCACUGGGAAUUGACUUUAAAUGGAGGGCUGCAAACUGGUAUUUCAUUCAUCACUGUAUCAUAUAGAAAGCCUGAGCUGAAUAAAACCUUCCGAAAGAAGAUGAGGAGACGCUCUCUGCCUUAUAGAUUAUUUUACAGUUACUGAAGCCAUUUGUUUUCUCUGCCUGCAUCCCACAAACGUGGAAUAUAAACCAUAUACCAGGAGGCGUGACUUCUACUUUUUG